AAAGUUUCAGAUACAAGAGAUGUUAAAUGGAAACUGGCAAGGGGAAUAUGCAUCACAGGCAGUUCCUUGAGGGCAAAAACAUCAAAUUUGCUGGUGGUAUAUCCUCCUAGAUCUUUGUAUCCUGAACAGGUUACCCCAAUCCGUGCUCUCCAGAUCAGUAGUGAUUUAGCUGUUUGUCCUUCGGGCAUGUUUGCACAUUCAUACUCAUCUACAUGCUGCAGUUUGUGAGUGCCGUGCAACAGUUCCUUUCUUUGUUCAACACCACUUAAAUCCAUAGUUUAAGUGGAGUAGGGAUAUCUCCCCCAGUA